AUUGAACGCUGGCGGCAUGCCUUACACAUGCAAGUCGAACGGCAGCACGGGAGCUUGCUCCUGGUGGCGAGUGGCGAACGGGUGAGUAAUACAUCGGAACGUACCCUGAAGUGGGGGAUAACGUAGCGAAAGUUACGCUAAUACCGCAUAUUCUGUGAGCAGGAAAGAGGGGGAUCGCAAGACCUCUUGCUUUAGGAGCGGCCGAUGUCGGAUUAGCUAGUUGGUGAGGUAAAGGCUCACCAAGGCGACGAUCCGUAGCGGGUCUGAGAGGAUGAUCCGCCACACUGGGACUGAGACACGGCCCAGACUCCUACGGGAGGCAGCAGUGGGGAAUUUUGGGACAAUGGGCGCAAGCCUGAUCCAGCCAUGCCGCGUGAGUGAAGAAGGCCUUCGGGUUGUAA
rnacentral:rRNA from 1 species